GUGAAAAUCACAAUCAAGCUGGUCAAAAUUCGAUACAAAUGUCUUCGUCGAGUUCAGAUACGGAAAAUAACAGUUACCAAAGCGAUGACUGCCUGAAAUUAUAUUCCUGGGCCGUAUCAAAUCGAGUGAAAUCGAUGAAAACACCAGUGAAGCGUGGUCAACGUCGUGCGCACAAAUGAUCGGCGCUGCUUGAUCCAUAUGUUAAUGAACCAUGCAGUGACCGACGAAGAUGGCUC